UAAAAAAGUGAUGUUUGUUUCAUAGUUUUGACUUUUGAAUAUUCAUUGGUUUUGGUUAGAAAGCUUCUAAGGUUUGGAAUUUGUGUAUGUGUACAUAUUUAUCAUUUGACAAAUACUAUAUUCAUACAUCGUCGCCGUAAUAAUUUGAAAUUGAAUUAAUUUAAUCUAAUUACAUGCGGUGGUGUUGGGUCAGUAGCUGAGUUGUAGUUUUUAUUAUUAUGGCUGGUUGUGUGUUGAAUCCAUAUAGGUGGUACCAUUGUGUUGGUUUGUUGUUUAUGUUCCUGAUUAUGUGAGAGCCAUUUCAUUUAUAUAAUUAAGAAAAUUAGAAAAUACUAAUAUAAGACAGAGCAUAUUUGAUAUGAAUUUUUUUGGUGGUGAUAUUUGAUAUGAAUUUGGUGUCAAUAUGUUCUGUUUUGUUUUUCAUUCCCAAUUUAAUUAGCUUAUAAUGGCAGGGAUGCUUUGAAACAAUUGUAGGAGGUACAAUUUUGUUAUCCAAGAAGUUAGAUCAAUCAAGCUUCAGGCAGUCCCAUUUGUGAGUAUUAAGGAAAAGACAUCCUAAGCCUAAGAUAAAGAACAAAGUUAGCAUCACUGGACUUCAUAUGCUAUGAUGUGCUGCCUUUGGAUGCAUUUGCAUAGGGAACCAAGUUAAGCUUUACAAGCCUCACAGACCUCAGAUGCAAUGCAACACUUGACUUCAUAGGCUAUAGUUUCGGUUACUUUAAUUUAUGUAUUUUUAUUAGAUCAAAUAUUAUGAUCUUUUUUAUUCUAUGGAACUUUAAAUUUUAUAUCAUCUAUUGGCGCACUUGUUCAUGUUUUGUUGUAUAAAGAAAUUACAUGUGCUUUUGAUUAAG